CUCCGAGCUGACUAGUCCCAAAUAGGACGGAACGCGCGUCCUGGAU
rnacentral:hammerhead_ribozyme from 1 species